GAAAACAGUUGAUCUCUCCAGGGAGCAGAAGAUUACUUGUGAGUUUCAGGUCUGGUGCUCAAAAAUGAGUGAAAUCUGUGCCGCUCAAGUGACAAGCUUGGAUACUUUCCUCAGUGCAAUAGUGGUAUUUAUUCACGACAGAAGGAAAAUCUGAUGGAACAUCAUCCCAGUUAUUUCUCCUUGUGUGGUGCAAUGGAACAGAUGAAAACUGCCAUUUUCCUCCUCAAAAUGCUGAACUGCUCUUAGAGGGACAUGACUUCACUAAAGCUGAAGUAUCAUCAUAGCUCAGGAGUGAAGACAGACACCCUCAGAUUUCUUCUAAGGAAGAGAAUCAAACCUAAGAGGUCAGCCUUUCCAGGCAACAUCUGCCCUGGUUUGGAGACGGCCAGAAAUGGAGCUCUGGAGUAUUUAUGUGAUCAGCUGGCUCAAAUAAAGAAAUCUCCUUUAGAAUCAAACAGCAAUAAUUAUGCAUCCACUGCAGUGUGAACCUGACUGUCUUCACUUCCAGCAGUUGGUUCCUGGCAGGAUUUUGGGAACACCUGCAGUAAUAUGUCACUGCUGAACGGGAGUGUGCCUUGCAGCAGACAACAGAAUAUUGUUAUGAGACCACUACUGAGACACUGUCAUCGACAACUUGGUGUGCUAAUACUGCAGAGCUCUAUGAAUUCUUUCCAGUCAAAGAGCUGAAUUGUACUUGAGUGCACCAAUGUUAUGAGGACACUUGUAGCAGAAGAUGACUGACUUUCCUGUGUCCCAAAUAGGCACUGUUACAAAAUUCCUUGGCUGCUCAUGAUAUUUGUGACAGUUCUCAUGGAAUUUGAAGUGAAUUUGAUGUUUCAAAGCCCAACCAAAAGUGUCUUUCUGGACAUUAUUACAUUGCUCACUUCUGGAGGAGGAGAAAGCCAAAAAAGAAGUUGCAAGAAGUGCUGAAUCAAGCCCUGACAAGUGAGCAUCAAUCAAACUAAAGCACAGCUGAGAAUGAGGGAAAUUACCAAUCCACCUGAAUAGCCUGAACUUCAAGAGGGAAAGAUCUGUUCUCUGCCUAAAUCAGAAAGGGUCCACUGUAUAUUCCACUCUAAAGCUGACCCAACACUUUCCAAAAAUAUCAGAGGAUCCAAGCAGACAACCCCAGUGUUGUGACUGUGACUGGUUCACUAAAUAAGCAGAGAGCAGCUGUUGGCAGUGUGAGGCUGUGGGAGCUUCCAGCAAGAAACACCAAGCUCAGAUGAGGCUGCUCAGAUGGGAUGGGACUGGGCUGAACUCUCUGAACUGAAGGAUGCUCAAGAGCAGCUCUCAGGAAUGGCUCUGAGGAAAGUCCAGCUGCAGGAGAGAAACUUUGAUCAAUCUCACACAGUGUUGGAGUGAAAGAAACCAAUUCCUCUUCAGUGACAGAAAUAAAGAAAUGAGGGGUGUCUGUUUGGGUGACAUUGAGACAUUCAGAAAGGCAAACUGAAGCACCUUGAAGUGCUGGGUAUUUAACUGCUGUUGAAUAUCCUGCACUGGUUCAUCAAGGAUUUAUUCAAGGUAGUGAUUUCUGCUGAUAACUGAAAAUUAAAUAACUACUCCUCAUUCUUCUUAGUACUCUACAGAAACACACAGAAGGCCAUACAGAAGUACUGGUAUAAAUGAAAAGCACAGGACAAGAAAAUCACUACUAUUGCAUGAGGAAUCUACUGCAAGAAAAAAAAUAUUGUCCUCAUCUGGGAGAUUAACAUCUGCAUCUCAAGAGCCAAACAGUUUCUCACCAAUACAGAACAGUUCUUGGAUUUUAAUUGUUCAGUUGUCUACUUUCAAGUUCUGCCUUCUGUAUGCCUAAGCUGGAGGCGGUGUGGCCAUCCUGAUGACUGUAACAGAUUUUCAAAACCUGCCUGAAGCAAACACAGAACUCAACUGACACAGAGUUUACUCCAACACUGAGCUUGAACCAAAGUGACAGAGGUUGCAUUCUAAGCAUUCUAAGAGCUGUGCAGAAAAUUGAAGCAGAUACCUGUGCUUCCCUACCCAUCUGCAUCAUACAACCAAUAACAGGCAAGAUGCUUGUUUCUUGGAUUUCAGGACCAAAGAGUUAAAUCUUUGAUUAUAACUUCUAGAUUUGUAACCCCCAUUGAGUUCCUGAAGAUCUAUGUGUAUUGCCUGGUGCCUUAAUUAGAAGUGCCAGUCACAUUUGAAGCAGGAAGAAAUGUACUACCCAAAAAGUGGAUCUGGGGGCUGCACCUGCUUGGCCCCACUGCACUUGCUCACACUUGGUAAGCUCUGGAAAGAUUUUGGUGCUUGAGGCAGAGAGGGAAUGGGGGUUUGUUUGCAAGGGAAGCUACAUGCAGGGGAAAAAAUGCUGGUGUAGGGGGACAGAAAGAGGAGCCCUUCUGUGCCUACUGUCUCUGUUUCCAACUCUGAGGGGGUCACUCCUGUCCUAAGGUUUCACAGGGUAAAUAGAAAGAGGGAUUUUUGUUGCAUCAUGCACAGCGUCUGUAAUAGUCUCAGUUCCAACUUUAAAGGACAGGUGAAAAGAGAGAGAGGGAGCUGAAUGCCUACCUUAGAUACUGGAGAAAUUGUUCAUUCAUGUGAAAUGCUGACCUCUGUCAUCCAGCCACGAUGACUGGGCCCUAGGGUGAGAGGCUGCUGGAGUGCUGGUUGCCAAAGUUAAAGCUGCCUCGGGAGUGCUUUAAAAGGACAAUGUCAAGGUUGGUCUACCCAAAAUCUGACCUUUUUUUCUUUUCUCUAUCUUACAUCUAUUUGCAAUAUUGAUGUCAUUGACUUGUAUGGUUUUAUGAAUAUUUAAUCUAAACCAAAAUGCUUCAAUUGCUAUGGGAGGUGUCCUAGUUUAGGGCAAAUUUAGGGAAAAAACCUCCUGGA